AAUGGUGUUAAAAGUUUGAAUAUAAUUUUCCACAUAAAAUAUGUACAUGUUUGAUGUAAUUAGCAGGACAUGCAGACAGACUUGGUACUAAUGAACGUAGGAACAGCAGAUGCAGAUCAGAGGCAGGUGUGCAUGUCUUAGCUGAGGGACCUAUGCAGGCUGUGGAGGAAAAUGCUGAGAGUUUAGUUUCUGCACUAGUUGAGGCUCCUGUCAAUCACUCUGGGUCCACUGUAUACAGAAGGAAAAUACAUGUGUUGUAUUUGAAAAGUCCAUAAGAUAAAGGCGCAAUUAAAAGGAAGACACACGGAAAUCAUGGAUGGACUAGAUGAUGUUACAGUAUCAGUUCUAAAUGCUGCCAACAUAGAUGAGGUUUUAAUCCACACCCUCAGUCGUGAUGAUUUAAGAGAUCUUUUUCCUGGUCCAGAAAACUUUCUCAGGAGGAAACAGUUGUGGGCUCAUCUUCACAAAGAGG